rnacentral:rRNA from 1 species
UCCGUAGGUGAACCUGCGGAAGCAUCAUUA